UCACUUUCUCCCCUCUCUUCUCUGAUCCGUCGCUGUCCCCAUCAUCACAGCCAUCUCUCAUACCCAGCUCGUGCUCGUUCAUCGUCGUAUUUCUUGUAUCAUUUAAAAAAUCUUCAUUCUUUCACUUUGCAUCAAGAAAAAAAAUCAAAUUCAAUCUCGCAAGUCUCUCCUCUCCCAGCACUCGCCAUUGGUGGAUGGAGUAUUAACGUUACCUAAGGUAGCUGACGGAGAUAAAGACGUCGAAGUAUUGACAUCAGCUAAGCGACAGGAUCGAGCGAGCUUUUUCGGUGUGUUUAACACCUUUUCGAUGUUUUAUCGGUGUUCCAACGUGAAGAGAGAGCACCAACGUCCGACGUUGGUGUGGGUUUGACAGUAUUCUAAGCGGACCCUUCCAGCGUUUGUUUGGCUUCGAGGUUUGAACAGUUUGGCGGUAGAUUAGAGUGAUUUUCUGCGAUUUGGGAUGCACUAUAAGCAGCUGCCGAAGCCGAGCUUUCUCUUGCGCAAGUAAUUGUUGACAGUGCAGGGGUCAUCGUUCAAAAUGCAGAUUUGACAAUCUGUUACGAUGAGAGAGGAGCAAAAUAUGAACUCCCCAACUAUGUUUUAAGUGAGCCGACCAACUUAAUUCGUGACAGCUAAAGGAGAAUGAUUGAAGUCAUCAGAUUGAAAGCUAAGCGAUUGUGUAGAUAGUCAGGCGAUUGUUGAAGGUUGAAGACUGAGAAGACGUUUAGGAUUUCUUAUUUAAGUCUUGUAUUAGGAUCUUGUUUCAUGUACUAUUGUAGAAUGUAUAUA